UACGUAGGUGGCAAGCGUUGUUCGGAAUUAUUGGGCGUAAAGGGCGCGUAGGCGGCAUGUUAAGUCGGCUGUGAAAGCCUGGGGCUCAACCCCAGAGGGUCGGCCGAUACUGGCAAGCUAGAGUACGGAAGAGGCAAGUGGAAUUCCCGGUGUAGCGGUGAAAUGCGCAGAUAUCGGGAGGAACACCAAUGGCGAAGGCGGCAUCCUGGACCGACAUUGACGCUGAAGGCCGAAAGCUAGGGGAGCAAACGGG
rnacentral:rRNA from 1 species